GAUGAACGCUGGCGGCGUGCCUAAUACAUGCAAGUCGAGCGAACAGACGAGGAGCUUGCUCCUCUGACGUUAGCGGCGGACGGGUGAGUAACACGUGGAUAACCUACCUAUAAGACUGGGAUAACUUCGGGAAACCGGAGCUAAUACCGGAUAAUAUAUUGAACCGCAUGGUUCAAUAGUGAAAGACGGUUUUGCUGUCACUUAUAGAUGGAUCCGCGCCGCAUUAGCUAGUUGGUAAGGUAACGGCUUACCAAGGCGACGAUGCGUAGCCGACCUGAGAGGGUGGUAGGCCACACUGGAACUGAGACACGCUACAGACUCCUACGGGAGGCAGCAGUAGGGAAUCUUCCGCAAUGGGCGAAAGCCUGACGGAGCAACGCCGCGGGAGUGAUAAAGGUGUUCGGAUCGUAAAACUCUGUUAUUGGUGAAGAACAAAUGUGUAAGUAACUAUGCACGUCUUGACGGUACCUAAUCAGAAAGCCACGGCUAACUACGUG
rnacentral:rRNA from 1 species